UACGUAGGGGGCACGCGUUGUCCGGAAUCAUUGGGCGUAAAGAGCGUGUAGGCGGCCAGAUAAGUCCGCUGUGAAAUCUCGAGGCUCAACUUCGAGCUGUCGGUGGAAACUGUCUGGCUAGAGUCCGGAAGAGGAGAAUGGAAUUCCUGGUGUAGCGGUGAAAUGCGCAGAUAUCAGGAAGAACACCCGUGGCGAAGGCGGUUCUCUGGGACGGUACUGACGCUGAGACGCGAAAGCGUGGGGAGCGAACAGG
rnacentral:rRNA from 1 species